rnacentral:rRNA from 1 species
GCGAAGCUGAUGAGCCCGCCGCGUGAGUGAAGAAGGCUUUCGGAUCGUAAAACUCUGUUGUUAGAGAAGAACAAGGAUGAGAGUAACUGUUCAUCCCUUGACGGUAUCUAACCCGAAAGCCCCGGCUAAAUACGUGCCAGCAGCCGCGGUAAUUG